rnacentral:snRNA from 2 species
AUCGCUUCUCGGCCUUUUGGCUAAGAUCAAGUGUAGCAAACUUCCUGAGCUCUGUCGUUAGGUUUUUUUUUUUGGCGGGGGGGUUGUUUUUAAUCUUUUUGUCUUUUUAGGGCCGCUCCUGCGGCAUAUGGAGGUUCCCAG